rnacentral:rRNA from 1 species
UUCCGGUUGAUCCUGCCGGACCCGACUGCUAUUUGGGUGAGAAUAAGCCAUGCGAGUCGAAUGGGAUUCCUAAAUUUCCCAUGGCAGACUGCUCAGUAACACAUGAUCAACUUACCCUAUAGAGAAAGAUAACCUCGGGAAACUGAGGAUAAUAUUUCAUAGUUGAAUCGGCUUGGAAAAGUUUUUCAAUUAAAGGAAUAAGAUAAAUGGUUCUUAUUUGCUAUAGGAUAGGAUCGUGGACGAUUAUGGUUGUUGGUGAGGUAACGGCUCACCAAGCCGAUAAUCGAUAGGGGCCGUGAGAGCGGGAGCCCCGAGAUGGGUACUGAGACAACGACCCAGGCCUUACGAGGCGCAGCAGGCGCGGAACCUCCGCAAUACACGAAAGUGUGACGGGGUUACCCAAAGUGUUCAAUCUUGAACUGUGGUAGGUGAGUAAUGUUCCCUACUAGAAAGGAGAGGGCAAGGCUGGUGCCAGCCGCCGCGGUAAAACCAGCUCUUCAAGUGGUCGGGAUAAUUAUUGGGCUUAAAGUGUCCGUAGCCGGUUUAGUAAGUUCCUGGUAAAAUCGGGUAGCUUAACUAUCUGUAUGCUAGGAAUACUGCUAUACUAGAGGGCGGGAGAGGUUUGAGGUACUACAGGGGUAGGGGUGAAAUCUUAUAAUCCUUGUCGGACCACCAGUGGCGAAGGCGUCAGACUGGAACGCGCCUGACGGUGAGGGACGAAAGCCAGGGGAGCGAACCGGAUUAGAUACCCGGGUAGUCCUGGCCGUAAACGAUGCAUACUAGGUGAUGGUACGGCCAUGAGCCGUAUCAGUGCCGUAGGGAAACCGUUAAGUGUGCCGCCUGGGAAGUACGGUCGCAAGGCUAAAACUUAAAGGAAUUGGCGGGGGAGCAC